CUUCAAAAGGACUCAAGUUGUGCUCACUUUGGAACGAUACAGAGAAAAUUAGCAUGGCCCCUGCACAAGGAUGACACGCAAAUUCGUGAAGCAUUCCAUAUUUUU